rnacentral:piRNA from 1 species
UAGAAGACCAAAGCUAUGUCAGAUGG